rnacentral:rRNA from 1 species
GUGUACGGCCAUACCACCCUGAACAUACCCAAUCUCCUCUGAUCUCAGAAGCUAAGCAAGGUCGGGCCUGGUUAGUACUGGGAUGGGAGAAUGUGAGCUCCACUGGACAAG